AUAAAAGGAUUAUGGCUGAAGGACCUGUGAUGGUGAUCAUGUGACAGGAAUGGGCGGGGCUCAGCUGUAGGAGAGAGAAGCACAUCACUGAGAUUAAACACUGGCAGUAAAGCUCCUACAUAGCAAGACAACAACCGAAAAGUCUUUCUUCAUGGACUCCAGCACCUCCUUCUUCCUAUCAUUUCCUCCUAAUAUUAUGUGGCGCCGCCUUCCAGACCGGCGAGUACUUUGCCUAUCCCCAGAAAUUGGCUACCAAUGGAGUCCACCUAAUGACUGACUUCCAGAAGACAUUAGACAUAAGUAAGGGGCUGGUUCAUAUGGACAUCAAACCUGAAAACAUUCUAGACUUCCACAAGGACUGCCACCUCAUCAAAAUGACAGACUUUGGCCUUUUAGGAUGGACUCCCAGAAGACGUUAUGGGGCCCAAUGUAGCCAUGUGCUUUACUUUGUUUCUUGUACCUUUUUUUUUUUUUUUUUUUUUUUUUUUUUUUUUUUUU